rnacentral:rRNA from 1 species
GACGAACGCUGGCGGCGUGCUUAACACAUGCAAGUCGAACGGAAAGGCCCUGCUUUUGUGGGGUGCUCGAGUGGCGAACGGGUGAGUAACACGUGAGUAACCUGCCCUUGACUUUGGGAUAACUUCAGGAAACUGGGGCUAAUACCGGAUAGGAGCUCCUGCUGCAUGGUGGGGGUUGGAAAGUUUCGGCGGUUGGGGAUGGACUCGCGGCUUAUCAGCUUGUUGGUGGGGUAGUGGCUUACCAAGGCUUUGACGGGUAGCCGGCCUGAGAGGGUGACCGGCCACAUUGGGACUGAAAUACGGCCCAGACUCCUACGGGAGGCAGCAGUGGGGAAUAUUGCACCAUGGGCGGAAGCCUGAUGCAGCAACGCCGCGUGGGGGAUGACGGCCUUCGGGUUGUAAACCGCUUUCGCCUGUGACGAAGCGGGAGUGACGGUAAUGGGUAAAGAAGCACCGGCUAACUACGUG